AGCGGGGCCUUUAACAUGCAGUCGAGCGGAAGGCCACUUCGGUGGUACUCGAGCGGCGAACGGGUGAGUAACACGUGAGUAAUCUGCCCCUGGCUUUGGGAUAGCCACCGGAAACGGUGAUUAAUACCGGAUAUGACAGCUUCUCGCAUGAGUGGUUGUGGAAAGUUUUUCGGCCAGGGAUGUGCUCGCGGCCUAUCAGCUUGAUGGUGAGGUAAUGGCUCACCAUGGCUUCGACGGGUAGCCGGCCUGAGAGGGUGACCGGUCACACUGGGACUGAGACACGGCCCAGACUCCUACGGGAGGCAGCAGUGGGGAAUAUUGGACAAUGGGCGAAAGCCUGAUCCAGCAACGCCGCGUGAGGGAUGACGGCCUUCGGGUUGUAAACCUCUUUCAGCAGGGACGAAGCGCAAGUGACGGUACCUGCAGAAGAAGCACCGGCCAACUACGUGCCAGCAGCCGCGGUAAUA
rnacentral:rRNA from 1 species